rnacentral:lncRNA from 1 species
GCACCUCCGAGGGUCAGGCAGGUGGGCAGGUCCUGGCAGGAUUGAAUUUCGAUCCUGCCCAGCUGACACAAGGCAGCCACUGGCUCUGCUCAGGAAACCCAUGCAUAAAUAACAGCUCUGAGCUGCAGGUGAGCCCAGCAGGCUUCUGAGUGGUUUCCCAUGCCCCACCAGCAGGUCUGGGAGGAUCCAUCCCUUCCUGAGUGAUUUCCCAUGUCCCACGGGGGCAGCCGUGAUGCUGGCACCAGAAUUAGGUUUGUGCUGCUGAAGACACCAAGUGUUAUCUGGAGAUGA